UAAAAAAUAAAAAACCAAGGGAAAAAAAAGACACGGAAAGUUAACCUAUUUCCUUCACUCUUUCUUUUCCUUUUCUGAUUACAAUGGAGUACAGAGGCAGCAAGAACAUUUGGUAGCUUCUACAAUGGAAUCGCUUGGGUCGUUUACGCUCUACUCAAAUACGAUCCCAUUGUCUUGAUGCUGAAUGGUGUGGGAGCACUUUUUGAGUUGAUACAGUUGAUUCUGUACGCCAAUUAUUGCUGCAUUUCGGCGCUGUCCGGCGAGGAGG